CGCUGGCGGUAGGCCUAACACAUGCAAGUCGAACGGCAGCACAGGAGAGGUUGUUCUCUGGAUGGCGAAUGGCGGACGGGUGAUGAAUACAUCGGAAUCUACCUUUUCGUUGGGGAUAACGUAGGGAAACUUACGCUAAUUCCGCAUUCGACCUUCGGGUGACAGCAGGGGACCUCCGACCCUCGCGCGGAUAGAUGAGCCUAUGUCGGAUUAGGUAGUCUGGCGGGGUAAAGGACCCACCACGGCGACGAUCCGUUGUUGGUCUGAGAGGAUCAUCAGCCACACUGGAGCUGAGACACGGUCCAGACUCCUACGGGAGGCAGCAGUGGGGAAUAUUGGACAAUGGACGCAAGCCUGAUCCAGCCAUACCCCGUGGGUGAAGAAGACCUUCCGGUUGUAAACCCCUUUUGUUGGGUUAAGAAAAGCAGUCGGCUAAUACCCGCUUCUUCUGACGGUACCCUAAGAACCAGCACCGGCUAACUCUCGUGCCAACAGCCGCGGUAAUACGUAGGGUGCAAUCCUUACUCGGAAUUACUGGGCGUAAAGCGUGCGUAGGUGGUUGUGUAAGUCUGUUGUGAAAGCCCCGGGCUCAACCUGGGAAUUGUCAGUGGAAACUGGAAGACUAGAGUCUGGUAGAGGAUAGUAGAAUUCCCGGUGUAGCAGUGAAAUGUGUAGAUAUCGGGAGGAACAUCCAUGGCGAAGGCAGCUACCUGGGACCAACACUGACACUGAUGCACGAAAGCGUGGAGAGCACACAGGAUUAGAUACCCUGGUAGUCCACGCCCUAACACGAUGUGGGACUGGAUGUAGGGUGUAAUUUGGGACGCAGUGUCGAUGUUAACGUGUUAAGUACGCCGCCUGGGGAGUACGGGCGCAAAAUUGAAUCUCAACGGAAUUGUGGGGGGCCCGAACAAGCGGUGGGGUAUGUGGUUUAAUUCGUAUGUAAGGCGAAGGUCCUUACCUGUUCUUGAUAUGUCGCGCAAUUCCCUAGAGAUGGGUUGGUGCAUUCGGGAACUCGGACAAAGGUGUUGCAUGGCUGUCGUGAGAUCGUUUCGUGAAAUGUUGGGAUUAAGUCCCGCAACGAGACGUCAACCCACGUCCUUAGUUGCCAGCACGUAAUGGGGGUUAACUCUCUGGGGACCGCCGGCGACAAACCGGAGGAAGGUGGGGUUCAUGUCACCCGAUGCAUCAUGGCCCCUACGGCCAGGGCUAGAAACGUUCAACCAUGGUAGGAACAGAGGGCUUCCCACCCGCGAGGGCAAACCAAUACCAGAAACUCUAUCUCAAUCCGGAUUGGAAUCUUCCAUUCCACCCCAUGGAAUCCGAAUCCCUAAUAAUCGCAGAUUACCAUUCCUGCGUGUGAAUACGUUCCCGGGCCUUGUACACACCGCCCGUCACACCAUGGGAGUUUGUUCCACCAGAAGCAGGUACCUUAACCUUCGGGAGGGCUCUUGUCAUGGUGUGGACGAUGAUUGGGGUGAAGUCGUAACAAGGUAUCC
rnacentral:rRNA from 1 species